AGCGAACGCUGGCGGCAGGCCUAACACAUGCAAGUCGAACGAAGUCUUCGGACUUAGUGGCGGACGGGUGAGUAACACGUGGGAACGUGCCUUUAGGCUCGGAAUAACUCAGGGAAACUUGUGCUAAUACCGAAUGUGCCCUUCGGGGGAAAGAUUUAUCGCCUUUAGAGCGGCCCGCGUCUGAUUAGCUAGUUGGUGAGGUAAAGGCUCACCAAGGUGACGAUCAGUAGCUGGUCUGAGAGGAUGAUCAGCCACAUUGGGACUGAGACACGGCCCAAACUCCUACGGGAGGCAGCAGUGGGGAAUCUUGCGCAAUGGGCGAAAGCCUGACGCAGCCAUGCCGCGUGAAUGAUGAAGGUCUUAGGAUUGUAAAAUUCUUUCACCGGGGACGAUAAUGACGGUACCCGGAGAAGAAGCCCCGGCUAACUUCGUGCCAGCCGCCGCAGUAAAAC
rnacentral:rRNA from 1 species